GUAGGGAAUAUUGGUCAAUGGACGAAAGUCUGAACCAGCCAUUCCGCGUGCAGGAAGAAGAUUCUAUGGAUUGUAAACUGCUUUUAGCAGAGAAGAAACGCCUUCAUUGAUGAGGGUUUGACGGUAUCUGCGGAAUAAGCACCGGCUAACUCCGUGCCAGCAGCCGCGGUAAUACGGGGGGUGCAAGCGUUAUCCGGAAUCACUGGGUUUAACGGGUGCGUAGGCGGGAAAUUAAGUCAGUGGUGAAAGUCUGUUGCUUAACGAUAGAAUUGCCGUUGAUACUGAUUUUCUUGAAUUGGGUUGAGGUUAGCGGAAUGUGACAUGUAGCGGUGAAAUGCAUAGAUAUGUCAUGGAACACCAAUUGCGAAGGCAGCUAGCUGGGCCUUGAUUGACGCUGAGGCACGAAAGCGUGGGUAGCGAACAGGAUUAGAAACCCUUGUAGUCC
rnacentral:rRNA from 1 species